AAAAAGUUUUAUUUUGAUUUAAAAAUUAAAUUAAAUUUGUUAUUUACAUGUAAAAUUUUAUGUGAUAUUUGUAUUAAUUUUAAUAGUUAAUAUUUUUUAUAGUAUUUGCAGUAAAUAGUAUUAAAUAUUAAUGAAAGUUAGAUUUAGGGAAAAUUUUAAGUAUUAACAAAUUUUGUGCCAGCAGUUGCGGUUAUACAAAAAAUGCGAUUUAAUUUUUGUUUAGCAUUAAUAUAUUUUUAAUUAUUAAGUUGAAUUUAGAAGUUAUUAGGUGAAAUUAUUAAUUUUUAGUUAAAUUUUUGGUAUUAUGAUUAAUUAAUAAAUUUUUUAAUAAACUAGGAUUAGAUACCCUAUUAUUUUAAAUGUAAAAUUAAGCUAGAUUAGUAGUAGUUAUAUUCUUGAAAAUUAAAAAAUUUGGCGGUUUUUUAGUCUAUUCAGAGGAACCUGUCCUGUAAUCGAUAAUCCACGAUUUUAUAUACUUUUUUUAUUAGUUUGUAUAUCGUCGUAGUUUGAAUUUUUUUUAAGAAUUUUAAUAUUCAAUAUUUAUUUUUUAAUAUAAAUCAGAUCAAGGUAUAGCUUAUAGGAAAGAAGAGAUGGGUUACAUUAAUUUUAAUUAGAGAUUUUAAAUUGUAAAUUUUGAUGAAUUUGGAUUUGAAAGUAAUUUUAUUUAGAUUUUUAAAAUGAUUUUAGCUCUAAAAUAUGUACAUAUCGCCCGUCGCUUUCACCUUAAAGUGAAAUAAGUCGUAACAGAGUAGGUUUACUGGAAAGUGUACCUAGAAAGGU
rnacentral:ncRNA from 1 species